CUGAAGCACUUUGCCGGAUUAGCUGAGAGGUGGUGCAUGGCCGUCGUCAGUUCGUACUGUGAAGCAUCCUGUUAAGUCAGGCAACGAGCGAGACCCACGCCCACAGUUGCCAGCGUACUCUCCGGAGUGACGGGUACACUGUGGGGACCGCCGCUGCUGCUAAAGCGGAGGAAGGAAUGGGCAACGGUAGGUCAGUAUGCCCCGAAUAUCCCGGGCUACACGCGAGCUACAAUGGUUGGUACAAUGGGUAUCUACCCCGAAAGGGGAUGGAAAUCUCCUAAAGCCAAUCUUAGUUCGGAUUGAGGGCUGCAACUCGCCCUCA
rnacentral:rRNA from 1 species